rnacentral:rRNA from 1 species
UACGGAGGGUGCAAGCGUUAUCCGGAUUCACUGGGUUUAAAGGGUGCGUAGGAGGGCAGGUAAGUCAGUGGUGAAAUCUCCGAGCUUAACUUGGAAACUGCCGUUGAUACUAUCUGUCUUGAAUAUUGUGGAGGUGAGCGGAAUAUGUCAUGUAGCGGUGAAAUGCUUAGAUAUGACAUAGAACACCAAUUGCGAAGGCAGCUCGCUACACAUAUACUGACUCUGAGGCACGAAAGCGUGGGGAUCAAACAGG